ensembl:lncRNA
GUCGUUAUUCCAAGUCAUUAGCCAUAAUCUAAUAGGUGUAUCCGAUAAGGAAAGUAGUUGAUUUAUUUCAAGUCUACCAAACUGUACAUGUGUGUGUCAGUACAGACCACAUCAAAGCAGUCACCUUCAGAGGUCACAUUUACCAUUGAUGCUGACCCAUGACCAAAAUACUUUUGGAGCUCCAUUUUUAGAACUGCUCUCAGAGCUUACAACAUAGUCAAGAAAAUCCUCAAUAGAGAAUCUUAAUCCUUUGACAAUAGAUUUGAUUUUUGAAAAGAAAGUUAUGUAGAAUUUAGUAUAGUGAACAAAUGGGUGAUGAAUCCUGUUAGUAGAAUUCUGGGCUAAAAAUGAGGCGUGAUUAGAAAUGGUUGCCAUUUCUCCAUGGGACAUUUCAAACGGAUUUUGCACAAACGGCACCUUUAUUAAAAUGAGCAUAUAAACUUCCAAAGAACCUAUUAUUUUUUUGGUGAGGUAUAAUUGACAUAUAACAUUAUAUUAGUUUCAGGUAUACAACAUAAUGAUUCGAUAUUUGUAUACACUGUGAAAAGAUCACCACGUAGUCUAGUUACCAUCCAUUACCACAUAAAGUUAUACAAUUUUUUUUCUUAUAAUGAGAAUUUUUAAGAUUUCCUUCCUUAGCAACUUUCAAAUAUGCAAUAUAAUAUUAUUUCCUAUAGUCACUAUGCUAUACAUUACAUCUCUAUGACAUUUAUUUUAUAACUGGAAGUUUGUACCUCUUGAAUCCUUCACCCAUUUCACCCAUACCCCAACUCCCUUCCCCUCUGGCAAACAACAAUCUGUUAUCUGUAUUUAUGAGUUUUGUUUGUUUGUUUUGUUUUUUAGACUCUACAUAUAAGAGAAAUCAUACAGUAUUUGUCUUCCUCUGUCUGACUUAUUUCACUUAGCAUAACACUCUCAAGGUCCAACCACGUUGUCACAAAUGACAAGAUUUCGUUCCUUUUAUGGCGAGUAGUAUUCCAUUGUAUAUACAUACCACAUCUUCUUUAUCCAUUCAUCCAUUGAUGGAUGGACACUUAGGUUGUUUUCAUUUCUUGGCUAUUGUAAAUAUGCUGCAAUGAACAUAAGGGUGCAUAUAUCUUUUUGACUUAGUGUUUUCAUGUUCUUUGUAUAAAUACCCAGAAGUGUAAUUGCUGGAUCAUAUGAUAGUUCUAUGUUUAAUUUUUCAAGGAACUUCCAUACUAUUUUUCAUAGUGGCUGCACCAAUUUACAUUCCCACCAACAGUGUAUGAUGAUUUUCUCCACAUCCUUUCCAACACUUAUUAUUUCUUACCUUUUUGAUAAUAGCCAUUCAAAGAACCUUUUCUGAAGAAAAAUAUUCACUUGUUUGCAUUAGUUAUGGUAUUGACAUUUAAGCAAACAACACUUUAUAAUCCUUUGCAGUACAACAUUGGGUGCUGGUUAGGGUUUGCUGUCCUGAAUGUUGGAGGACAAUUGCACACAUCUCUGAGAAGCCAUUCUGCUUCUGCUAAGCUAGUGUUCUUCCCUAGAAGUCAUUUCAAUGCUGUCAUUAUGGAGUACUGCCCCGACUUCCCAUUUCUUCUUCUAGACUGGGUGGAACACAGAACAGUGAAGCUUCCCUUUACUUUCCUCCCAGAGCCCGCAGCCUAAAGGAAGCCUAAAGGAAGCUGGAAAUCAACACUGUUUCCAAGAGUUGGAGUAAACAACAAUGAAAGUCACCAAUAACAAUGACAAUGAAAUGUCGCUAUGCCUCAAAUCUACCAAUUUGUCAAAAUUUGAUUAAAAUGAAUUGGAAAACAAGUUCACUAAAGGAAGAUAUAUAGCCUAGAGAUGUGUGGGGACCAAGCAAGGGAUAUUUUCAUCCAAAGAAGCUAAUUAUAUGCACAGAGACCUCAGUUUCCCUUGAGAAUCAGUUGGCAGAAACUUUUCCUCUCUCAUGCCACCUGCAUCUUCUCUCCAUAACUUGCUGCUCACUUCUUCCCCCCAGCAUCCUCCCUCUUGGUCCUGGCUGUCCAUCCCUGUGGCCCCCAUGCUGACUUCAGAUUUUCUACUUCCUCUCCUCCUCACUCUUCGGGAAAGAUAAAGAUAAGGCUAAUUUCUCUCCAUUAGCUUUUCAAAUUCCUUCCUCACCUCUCUUCAGGCAGGACAAUAAGAUGGUUAAGUGCACAAGUUUGAACCCCAGCCUAUCUCCUUAACUGCCAUGAGAUCUACCUCACAGAAGUGUUAUAAAGAAUGAGUGAGUUUGUGCACGUAAAGCAUCAAAGGCCAGAAUAAGCCCUCAGUGAAUAGUGGUUAUUAUCGUUAUUAGGAACAAUUUAGUUUCACUGUGCUCAGCAAAUACAACAUCCCUGUGCCACCAGCGUACAAUCCCCUCACUAUAUGUAUUCAAGGUCCUACCCCUUUCAGCUACACUUAGGCCUGUGAGGAGGAGGGAAGAGGAAUGCUGUCACCUUCCAAGACUUUUAUCUGGAACAGCCUUUAUCUCUUUCACUGUGGGGAUUUUCCCCAGUCUCUUUUGUUCUCUGUUUCAGAGCUUAUUUUGCCUCCCUUUUGUGUUACAUUCCCUUCUAUAGGAGGGUAGAGUUGCCCUAUUUACAAGAGUAGCUAUCACCAUGGUAACUUGGUAUUUUGAUACAGGCAUGAAACAAUCCCGAGGGAAAAAUAGGUCCCUUAUUUUUCAACUUUGGCAUGUAGAUGUAUGAGAAUCAAAAUACUUGCCCAGCAUAAUAUAGCUGGUUCAAAUGUCAAAGCAAAGAAACAAGUUUUCUUGAUAUUUUAAAUAAGUAUUGAGCAACCACAGCAUGCUAUCAAUUGAGCAGAACAUUCUCACAAUUAAUUUCUGCCUCUUAGGCACGAAAGCUUGCAGGCAACAUGGCAUAUACUUCCGUGAACUCAUUCUCUGAAUGAAAAAAUUGGUACCCAUGGUCAGACAAAGAACUGUCAAGUUCACUCAAAUUGCAAAAGGAGUCGUGAAAGAAGUCAUUUGAAGUUUCUGGAAUAUUUUGGUUGUUUAUUGAAGGGGAACAAGACAGAAAAUUUUAAAAUCAGCGUCUUCUGAAUGGGUCAGAGGAACUUGCUUGCUGUCUAUAUCAUUUGUACAUUGCAUAUGGAAGAAGGAGCAGCUGGUUUUGAUUAUUGAAGGCCUACAGUGUUCCAGACUCCCUAAGGACCUCUGAAGAUUUUACCUGGGCUCUGCAGACUCCAUGAAACUACCAGUGUAACUACUCAAAAAACCAAAUCUGAUUGUGGCUCCUCCAUUCUUCAGGAUCGCCAUGAUUUAUUUACAUAUUGCGCGUUUCCUCGAGGACAUGUGUGGUCAUAUUAGAAUUAUGGUUUGACAAUAGAAGAAUCAUCUUAACAUGCAGAAACAGUAAAAGACAGUAUCCAUCAAAGGACAAGAAAUUGUUUCAUCACACCAUUUAAUCGUUUUAUCCCACCACUAAGAAGUCACGAUUACAAUGAAUUAUUUGAGAAAAAUAAAAGCCAUCAAGCAAACAAAUCCUGGAAAAAAAGAACAAGCUCUUUCCUAUCUCUCUGGGUUGUAAAAUCAGUAAGUACUGGGAUAGCUAAGUACUACCUUUCAGUAUAUAAGAGAGAGACACAAAUGAGGCUUCAAUCUAAGUAGUAUCUUUUUGAUGAUACAUAUGCCAUUCACUUUUCCAAGUUAUUAAUUCAAUAUUUGAAGCCUAACAUUUAUACAGCC